UACGGAGGGGGCUAGCGUUGUUCGGAAUUACUGGGCGUAAAGCGCACGUAGGCGGCUUUGUAAGUUAGAGGUGAAAGCCCAGGGCUCAACCCUGGAACUGCCUUUAAGACUGCAUCGCUUGAACACGGGAGAGGUGAGUGGAAUUCCGAGUGUAGAGGUGAAAUUCGUAGAUAUUCGGAAGAACACCAGUGGCGAAGGCGACUCACUGGACCGUUGUUGACGCUGAGGUGCGAAAGCGUGGGGAGCAAACAGGAUUAGAAACCCCUGUAGUCC
rnacentral:rRNA from 1 species